GUGCUCACUUUGGCAGCACAUAUCCUACAAUUGGAAUGAUACAGAAAUUAGCAUGCUCCCUGUACAAAAUGACAUGCAAAUUCAUGAAGUGUUCCAUAUUUUA
ensembl:snRNA U6 U6 spliceosomal RNA